ACACACCGCCCGUCACACCAUGAGAGCCGGGAACACCCGAAGUCCGUAGUCUAACCUAUAUGGAGGACGCGGCCGAAGGUGGGUUUGGUAAUUGGGGUGAAGUCGUAACAAGGUACC
rnacentral:rRNA from 1 species